rnacentral:rRNA from 1 species
UCUUGGUUCAGGACGAACGCUGGCGGCGUGCCUAAUACAUGCAAGUCGAGCGAAUCUUUGGGAGCUUGCUCCCAAAAGUUAGCGGCGGACGGGUGAGUAACACGUGGGCAACCUGCCUAUAAGACUGGGAUAACUUCGGGAAACCGGAGCUAAUACCGGAUAAUUCUUUUCUACUCAUGUAGAAAAGCUGAAAGACGGUUUACGCUGUCACUUAUAGAUGGGCCCGCGGCGCAUUAGCUAGUUGGUGAGGUAACGGCUCACCAAGGCCACGAUGCGUAGCCGACCUGAGAGGGUGAUCGGCCACACUGGGACUGAGACACGGCCCAGACUCCUACGGGAGGCAGCAGUAGGGAAUCUUCCGCAAUGGACGAAAGUCUGACGGAGCAACGCCCGCGUGAGUGAUGAAGGUUUUCGGAUCGUAAAACUCUGUUGUUAGGGAAGAACAAGUACGAGAGUAACUGCUCGUACCUUGACGGUACCUAACCAGAAAGCCACGGCUAACUACGUGCCAGCCGCCGC